AGCAGCGUGGCUCAGUGGAAAGAGCCUGGGCUUUGGAGUCAGUCAUGGGUUCAAAUCCCGGCUCUGCCA
rnacentral:tRNA from 1 species